rnacentral:rRNA from 1 species
GACGAACGCUGGCGGCGUGCCUAAUACAUGCAAGUAGAACGCUGAAGAGAGGAGCUUGCUCUUCUUGGAAGAGUUGCGAACGGGUGAGUAACGCGUAGGUAACCUGCCUUGUAGCGGGGGAUAACUAUUGGAAACGAUAGCUAAUACCGCAUAACAAUGGGUGACCCAUGUCAUUCAUUUAAAAGGGGCAACUGCUCCACUACAAGAUGGACCUGCGUUGUAUUAGCUAGUAGGUGAGGUAACGGCUCACCUAGGCGACGAUACAUAGCCGACCUGAGAGGGUGAUCGGCCACACUGGGACUGAGACACGGCCCAGACUCCUACGGGAGGCAGCAGUAGGGAAUCUUCGGCAAUGGGGGCAACCCUGACCGAGCAACGCCGCGUGAGUGAAGAAGGUUUUCGGAUCGUAAAGCUCUGUUGUAAGUCAAGAACGAGUGUGAGAGUGGAAAGUUCACACUGUGACGGUAGCUUACCAGAAAGGGACGGCUAACUACGUGCCAGCAGCCGCGGUAAUACGUAGGUCCCGAGCGUUGUCCGGAUUUAUUGGGCGUAAAGCGAGCGCAGGCGGUUUGAUAAGUCUGAAGUUAAAGGCUGUGGCUCAACCAUAGUUCGCUUUGGAAACUGUCAAACUUGAGUGCAGAAGGGGAGAGUGGAAUUCCAUGUGUAGCGGUGAAAUGCGUAGAUAUAUGGAGGAACACCGGUGGCGAAAGCGGCUCUCUGGUCUGUAACUGACGCUGAGGCUCGAAAGCGUGGGGAGCGAACAGG